rnacentral:tRNA from 1 species
GCACCCAUAGCUCAGUUGGAUAGAGCGCAUCUUUGCGGAAGAUGAGGUCAGAGGUUCGACUCCUCUUGGGUGCG